GUUCAUCCCUCAACCCUGUAACGAAUAAGAAAAGUUUUGGUUUCUCGUUUGCAAUCGGGUUCCGUGGACAUUUAAUCGAGUUCUUUGAACAGCUUGAAUCCUGGAUCGUUUUCGUGAGAAACGAGGAGAUCGUUUUCGUCGUUUUACUACAUUCCAGAUUGAUCGCCAGCUGCAUCUGUGUCAUUUCUGUUGAUUUGGAUUCGGUUCUGAUAUCUUCAUCGCUGGAGAUACUGAGUUGUAGGAUUUCGAAGUUUUAUCCAACGUAAUGCACGCUCCUUUGGUUGUCAAUUGCACAGUUCUCCUGGUCACAACCUUGGGAUAGUGAAUGCCAUACUUCGCUGGAGAAUCAUGCCUUCAUAUAAUGAAAUUGGCCCUUCCAGAAGGACUCGAGGAGCCGAUUAUGCCUAUUUUAAUACGUGAAGUUCUCAAUGGGUUGGGAAGUCAUCCGGGUGUUAGGAAUUGCUUAGCACACGCUUGAACUUGCCCCGUUUUCCAAGUUCUACCUAUGAAGAAAGAAUAUAUUCGUGGAGUGAAUGCCUGGAUUCCAACCUCAAUGAUUUGACACAAGUCAGGGUGCCCUCAUUCAGGAUGAUGCAGGUAACGGAUGUGGGAGUAAAUGAAAGGCAAGAAGAUAAAUAGGAGUUUGGCUUACAUGCAAGAGAAGACAUUAGUGGAAAAAUUGGCUGUUCCAACACUACACCUAGCUGUGAGUUCUCGUUGCCUAAUAAGUCAAUCUUUAUUUGGUAUCAAUCUUUAUCUGCAGUGGUGGACAUGUAGAAUAGCACAGCUAUUACACAAAAUCAUGUUUGCAGGAAGAAAUUAAUAAGUCAAUCAAGUAUCUGGAACAAAUCUUUGGUAGUUUUCGUUUUCCAUUUCCCAUCAUUUUUCCCAUCUAAGCCCCUACGCUAUUAUUUGGCUCAAGUUAAAGUUUUAAGUCGAUACACGCAUGAACAUAGAGUCAGCUGAGGUGAGCAUGAGUGACUUUAUGCAGGUGAGGAAUCUUCUUUUCUCAUGCAUUUUCUAGUAACCCACAGUAAGCAGGAAGCAAAUAAUUCAAGAUUUUGACCAAGGAUUUCCCAUUUCUUGGUAGAUUCUUUCACCUUAAAUUCAAAAUAAAACACAAUAUGUGUGUAACAUGUGUAUUGGAAAGAAAGUGGAAAUUAAGAAUUUGGGUAAAUGUUCUUUUCACAAUUUAGUUUCCUACCUACUUUCAUUCAGGUUAACAUUAUUCGUUUGUGUUUAGCUUCAGUUUGGGGAAGAUCUUACCAAAUUACAGGGAUCCAAAUAAGAUUCUAAUUUUAAGUCUAAUAAAGUAUAGUUAUAUUAUAAAACUAACAGACAUGUAUAAAGUUGGGAUUUUAUUAUUA